AUGGAUGGGGUUUUAGCCAUUUUGCUCUGCUUGCAGGGCAGCCUGCUUGUCAUUCCCUCUGACUGCUCAGACAAAGGGAUAUCAAGAUCGGCAGAACAAAAUCAUUUGGACACCACACACGAACAGUUGUUGGACUAUGAAAAUAAAAUCACAAAAACAACGUUUGUCACUUUCCUCGAUCAGAAACCUUCAGAACCUUUUUCUGACUCUGAGAGGGCACAACUGGUAUGUGUAACUGGAGUUAUGUAAACACUAUAAAAUGUGUAACUGGAGUUAGGGAGGGUUGAUUACAACCAAGCCACUUUUGUCUCAGCCUCUCUAAAACAAAAUCAUUACCAAGGCUGUAUACAGUAUGUAUUAUAUGCAAAUCCCUCUCUUUCUACAUUUUUGUCUCCUGCAUUCCUCCAACACCCCAUCUCCAAUUUGCAGAUGUCCCUAGGUUUGUAGAAUUAUAGAAAGUUGUAAAAGUGCAGUCCUUCACUGGAUGACAAAUAUAUUGAAGGGCUACUGAACACAGGGGCAAAGUUUCUCAAAUACAUUUAAUAUUUUAUGGAACUGUGUGAGUUUGUAGUAUUCAUUAUCCACUUUCAUAUACUACUAAUUUUAAUCAGUUUUAAAUAACAUGUGAUUGGAAUUUGUAGAUGAAUGACAUUUCCUGAGGUAGGAAAAUCCAACCAAACAUUUUCCGAACAGCUUUAUCCAGCGUAGGCUCACAGGGGACUCCAGAGACUAACCCAGUAAGCAACAGUUGGAAGGCUCCCAGAGAUACACCCUGGACAGGAUGC
rnacentral:lncRNA from 1 species